UCUAAUAAAAAUUAUAAAUUCAAAAUAAGAAAAAUGUUUAGAAGUUAAAAAAAUUUGUAGAAAGAGAGAGAAAAAAAAAACAGAAAUUGAAACUAAUUGAAUGGACUAAAAUACCCCUCGCGUGUUAAUCAGAGUGUUGUACUGGUUAGGGUUUCGGCGAGAUGCCUAUAAAUACUGAACAAUGCCCUUGUUAGCUUCCCUAGCCGGUCUUGCAGUCAGAAAAUAGCCUGUUCGAGAAAACUCGGCGGAUAGAAGGAAGUCUACUACGAGAUCGUGAGAGAAGAUGAGAGCUAAGUGGAAGAAGAAGCGUAUGAGAAGGUUGAAGAGGAAGCGCCGAAAGAUGAGGCAGAGAUCUAAGUAGGCUUUUUUGUUAAAUUGGCAAGACGGGCUUGGUUUCCUGAAGAGAUAGGGUUGGUUCUUCAUCUCAUUAUCCCCCAAUAUGGUUUGAAGUUGAAGAAGAUUGCCAAAUUCUUUUCUGGAAAUUACAUCUGCCGUGUUUUUUUAUUUUAGUCUUAGUAUCGGAAAGACUUCUUAAAGCCGUGUGGACAUCUUACAUUCGGCUCAUUUCUAUGUUGGAGAUUUGAGAAAUUUUUACCUACUUCAAGCAGUUUCUUGCAUAUGCUUGGUUUGCU